rnacentral:rRNA from 1 species
GACGAACGCUGGCGGCGUGCUUAACACAUGCAAGUCGAACGGAAAGGCCUGCUUUCCCUUGUGGAUUGCGGGUACUCGAGUGGCGAACGGGUGAGUAACACGUGAGUGAUCUGCCCCCAACUUGGGUAUAAGCCUGGGAAACUGGGUCUAAUUCCCGAUAGGACUGCAGGGUGGUGCCUGUGGUGGAAAACGAUUUUCUAGUGGUUGGGGAUGAGCUCGCGGCCUAUCAGCUUGUUGGUGGGGUAGUGGCCUACCAAGGCGGCGACGGGUAGCCGGCCUGAGAGGGUGGACGGCCACAUUGGGACUGAGAUACGGCCCAGACUCCUACGGGAGGCAGCAGUGGGGAAUAUGGCACAAUGGGCGGAAGCCUGAUGCAGCGACGCCGCGUGGGGGAUGACGGCCUUCGGGUUGUAAACUCCUUUCGACCGCGAGGAAGCCACCUGGUUGGAAGGGUGGUGACGGUAGUGGUAGAAGAAGCACCGGCUAACUACGUG